rnacentral:rRNA from 1 species
AUUGAACGCUGGCGGCAGGCCUAACACAUGCAAGUCGAACGGUAACAGGAAGAAGCUUGCUUCUUUGCUGACGAGUGGCGGACGGGUGAGUAAUGUCUGGGAAACUGCCUGAUGGAGGGGGAUAACUACUGGAAACGGUAGCUAAUACCGCAUAACGUCGCAAGACCAAAGAGGGGGACCUUCGGGCCUCUUGCCAUCGGAUGUGCCCAGAUGGGAUUCGCUAGUAGGUGGGGUAACGGCUCACCUAGGCGACGAUCCCUAGCUGGUCUGAGAGGAUGACCAGCCACACUGGAACUGAGACACGGUCCAGACUCCUACGGGAGGCAGCAGUGGGGAAUAUUGCACAAUGGGCGCAAGCCUGAUGCAGCCAUGCCGCGUGUAUGAAGAAGGCCUUCGAGUUGUAAAGUACUUUCAGCGGGGAGGAAGGGAGUAAAGUUAAUACCUUUGCUCAUUGACGUUACCCGCAGAAGAAGCACCGGCUAACUCCGUG